UUCUAUGAAAACAUGGCUGUCCUGCAGGAUGAACCGAGGGAAGAUGAGGGAGGCUUUGUCACAUAGCAGCAUGGGCACUGGUCCGAACACCUGGCUAACACUUGCACAACACCAAAAAGGCAAUAGUAACUGGAAGAGUAAUCCAGACAGCUCAGAUUUUCCGAAGCAAACCAUCAUCCUAUUGAUAUGGCUGUAGUUCUUUCAUGCAAUGCCCACCCCAAGGAAUGAUGUGAUCUCUGGAGCACACAUGACCACCACAGCUGAUAAACACCUGAUUUCACUACAAAAGAGACUGCAAUGAAGUGGAUGAAAAAAAAUAUUGUCUGGCACUGACAAAUGUUGCUAAUUUGGGAAGAAGACAUGAUGCAGAAUGAUGGUGGGAAUUGGAACUUCAGACCUGUCCAUGCUGGGACUUAACUGCCAGGACCUCUGCUAUAGUGAUUGGAGUUCUCCAAGAAGCCUUGGAGAAGGGAAGAAGAAAUUGGUCAAUGAAUAUCCCAUUCAGGAAUCAGGCUCCUAACUCUGGCUGAAAGUCACCUGCUGUGGUGAGAAUUUGUUCCAGCUCAGCUGUCUGGUUCAUAAGGAUGGCACCUGGUGAUCAAUACUUAUUUCCCUGACAGCUGCCAGGAUCUUCCAAAGUUUCUGUAUUUCCACUGUGUGUGAAUACACAGAGCCUGCUUCCAUACAGAGGCGCUUAGCUUGCAAGUGGAGUGAGAUACCUAGCAAGUAGUAGUCACUUCAGUAUCUACAGAGCAAGUCAGUAGGAGGAGAUAGAAAAUAUUCACAUUUACCUUUUUACAAGGUAACCUUUCUGACAAGGUAAUCCCUAAUGGUAAUACCCAAGGGUAACCCCUUAACUUUAACCCACACACUGUUAACUUGCACACUCUUGACACUUUAAAUAUCCACUUUUGCUUCACAUGGGAAUUCGCCCCAGCAACGGAGCCAUUGAAACAGGCACAUACAUUCCCUCUUUUUAGGCAGCUAGCAGAAUAUUAGAUCCUCAUAAGUGACUCUAUCAAUGAUUUUGUUUCAAUUAUAUGUUCAGACUGCCAAAUUGAAUAAAACAUAUCCUUUCUAAAAUCUUCAUCUCAUCCCUGAAAAGAUAAAUUCACCUGUCCAAAUAAGCAAAAAAACUCACAGAAGAGCUUUCUUAUAAGCACAGAGAAAUACUGAUCCAUGGAAGAAAACUUGAGGUAUAAUCAACGUAGCUUAAAAAACUCUUAUCAGUACAGAAAUAUACAGCUAAAUUUUUGCAGCUUUAGAAUUUUUUCAUCAAAAGAGUCACAGAGUUGUUGAGGUUGGAAUGGACCUCCUCUGGAGACAGUCUAGUCCAACCCCCUGCUCAAAGUAGAGGCAGCUACAGCAGGUUGCUCAGGACCAUGUUCAGUCAGUGUUUGAGUAUCUCCAGGGAUGAAGACUCAGCAACCACUGGGGGCAGCCUGUUCCAGUGUUUCACCACACUCACGAUAAAAAGUUUUUUCUCAUCAUUAAACAAUUUCCUGUACUUCCCAUUUGAUCAAGCCCACUGCCUUUGUCCUGUCACUGGAUAACACUGUCUCUGCCUCAUUCUUCUUUAACACCUCCUGUCACCAGGUAUUUGUACAUAUGGGUAAAUUCUCCCUGAGCCUUCUCUUCUUGGGGGUAGAUAAUCCCAGCUCUCAACCUCUCCUUGAACAAUGGGUCAUCUUUGUGGCCCGGUGUUGCAUUCACUUCAACAUGGCCAUGCUUCUCUUGUCCUGGGAGCUCAGCAGCCAACACUGUGCCUCACCAGGCUAAGCAGAGGGGUAGGAUCACCCCCCUUCACCUGCCUGAAAUGCUCUGCCUGAUGUACUGAGCGGGAUACAUCUGCUCACAGUACCCCCUGCAGACCUUCAUGGCAACAGCUAGUUACCAAGGCUUUCACACAAGAAUAUCCACACAGUGAGCUAUGGUCACCAGCUUAACAUUCCCUUUAUAUUUAUUUGCUGCUAAUAUUAAAACUAUAUACAUGACCAGUUAAUAAAAUGUCAUGUUUUAUUAACACAUCACUCUGGACAGUGUGUCUUCCAAAAAUGCAACACUGCUAUGAAUGGUUAAAACAUAUCAAGCUCACAAACCAACACCUUUCAAAAUAGUAUAUUUCUUUAGUAAUGUAUCUAUUUAGAGGUAACUAGCAACAUUUUUUUCAUUUCUGCAGCAGACAAGUUUCCAUCACAGGGAGGUUUCCAGACCAGAUUUUGAUAGUAAAACGUUAAGCCUGAAGCAAUACAGGAGAGCAGCAGAACAAAAGUUUUUUUCAUUACUCUUCAUGCAUUAAUUACCUUUAUCAAAUACCAUCUGAGACUAGCUAUUUUUAAACCCUUCCACUGAUUCUGUAAUUACACUAGUUUAACACAGAUUUUAAUCUCCCCUACUCAUACACCUCUAUCUUAAAUAAAAUUUUAUAUAUUUGCAUAGAAAGUAUUACAGGCUAUUUACACACCAAUCAAUCUGAGCACAGCAACUUCCAGACACAACUCUUGGUUAAAGUUGUCAGUUAAACACAGACUCUAUAAAAGGCAAAGAGAAGUGAUAUACUGAAAUGAUUUAGCACUACAAAACACUUUAGUAGCAGAGGCAAUUGGUCAUUAAAAGGUUUGCUUUUAUGCAGUGGAAAUACAAUUUGUGAUAAUUUAAAUACAAAUUGACAUGGUGUAAUUUAUUAUUACUUAUGCAGUAUAAUUUUUUAUGCAUCCAUCAGGAAAGUGAAAACCAAAACACCCAUUUCUAUUUUGUUUAUCAUCACUUGCAUUGUAGAGUUAAUAUCUGUCAUUAAAAGCUGUAAUACUUGCC